rnacentral:rRNA from 1 species
UACGAAGGUGGCAAGCGUUGUUCGGAUUUACUGGGCGUACAGGGAGCGUAGGCGGUUGGAUAAGCCCUCCGUGAAAUCUCCAGGCUUAACCUGGAAAGUGCAGAGGGGACUGUUCAGCUAGAGGAUGGGAGAGGAGCGCGGAAUUCCCGGUGUAGCGGUGAAAUGCGCAGAUAUCUGGAGGAACACCGGUGGCGAAGGCGGCAUUCUGGACCGAUAUUGACGCUGAGGAGCGAAAGCCAGGGGAGCAAACGGG